GGACGAGUUUAUUUAAUGGAUCUGAGUGUAGGCUUUGCCUGCUAUCUCUUACCCAUGUCUUUUGAGUACCUUCGUUUCCUCGGCGGGUCCGCCCGCCGAUUGGACACAUUUAAACCCUUUGUAGUUGCAAUCAGCGUCUGAAAAACUUUAAUAGUUACAACUUUCAACAACGGAUCUCUUGGUUCUGGCAUCGAUGAAGAACGCAGCGAAAUGCGAUAAGUAGUGUGAAUUGCAGAAUUCAGUGAAUCAUCGAAUCUUUGAACGCACAUUGCGCCCCUUGGUAUUCCAUGGGGCAUGCCUGUUCGAGCGUCAUUUGUACCUUCAAGCUUUGCUUGGUGUUGGGUGUUUGUCUCGCCUCUGCGCGCAGACUCGCCUCAAAACAAUUGGCAGCCGGCGUAUUGAUUUCGGAGCGCAGUACAUCUCGCGCUUUGCACUCAUAACGACGACGUCCAAAAAGUACAUUUUUUACACUCUUGACCUCGGAUCAGGUAGGGAUACCCGCUGAACUUAAGCAUAUCAAAGUGACCUCGGAUCAGGGAGGGAAAAGAUG
rnacentral:rRNA from 1 species